UAGGGAAUCUUCCGCAAUGGGCGAAAGCCUGACGGAGCAACGCCGCGUGAGUGAUGAAGGUCUUCGGAUCGUAAAACUCUGUUAUUAGGGAAGAACAAAUGUGUAAGUAACUAUGCACGUCUUGACGGUACCUAAUCAGAAAGCCACGGCUAACUACGUGCCAGCAGCCGCGGUAAUACGUAGGUGGCAAGCGUUAUCCGGAAUUAUUGGGCGUAAAGCGCGCGUAGGCGGUUUUUUAAGUCUGAUGUGAAAGCCCACGGCUCAACCGUGGAGGGUGAUUGGAAACUGGAAAACUUGAGUGCAGAAGAGGAAAGUGGAAUUCCAUGUGUAGCGGUGAAAUGCGCAGAGAUAUGGAGGAACACCAGUGGCGAAGGCGACUUUCUGGUCUGUAACUGACGCUGAUGUGCGAAAGCGUGGGGAUCAAACAGG
rnacentral:rRNA from 1 species